UAAAUACCAGUUUUUCAGACCCCUUCACAUUUUCAGUGUCUUCCAGUGCUGCAAACACUUGGAUAUUCUUGCUACAUUCGUACCUGUAUGGGCAUCUAUUAGCUGUGUCUGCAUUAUCCUGUGAGUGGGGGAAAUAGCUCAAACCAAUGGGUUUAAUUCUGCAAGAAUUAUAUUCUAUCCCAUUCCACAAAAAUCUCCUUUUUGGGAUACUGGAAAGCUACUUCACAUGUGAGAAAAGAAAUCUGGAUUUCACAAAUGAUUCCACCUGGAUGGCUGCUUCAGACAGAGACGCUGUGGAGGGCCCUGCGAUCAACAUGCAUUUAGGAGUCCAGGCUCUGUGCAUGUGACUGGAGGGAGGAUAUGGCCUUCCACGCGAGGAAAGAUUCCGGUUCAUUAUUCUCUGUGUAGGAAGUGGAUUUAUGUGAUGCCGUCAUGAGCAAGGGAGGCAAUCACUACUUCCUUGCUGAUGACUGAAUCUACGUGUAUACGCUGUAAUCUGAUUACUGAAAUGGGGUAGAAGGCUGGUGAUGGGAUCAGCAAUGGAGCAGCACCGUGGUUCAGGAGUGCCAGCCGAGACAUCUCCACGCCAGCUGCUUUGGAGAAGGUAGAACACUGCUUUCUCUCUGAUGAGAAAACACCCUGGAUUUUCCAUCGGCCAGUGUUGUGUCUCUUCUGAAAGAUGACUCUCUUCAUGCCCCAUGGCCUGGUGAAGGCCUUGCUGCAGUGACUCAGUGGGCAGCGUGCCACCCACCGCGCUCAACCACCCACAGCUUCCUGGAGCGCCCAUGACCCAGGUGGAGUCCCCAGGUGGCCCGACCUUGCCAGCAUGGGAUGAGAGAAACUGAAAAUCAGCUGGAAAGGGACUUUACAAUAUGGAUACGUGGGAAAUCAGGAGCCUGAAAUGAAGGCCUAAGAAGUUCUUCACCUUCUACCUACUGCUCUUACCUUCUUCCAUCUUGCCAUGCAAUACUUCAAAGAGCAAAAGCCUCACCCAUAUCCGGAGCUCUUACUCUAAAAUUCAGGAGAUAAAGUAGCAGUGAUGCCCCUAAAAGAGAAACACAGGGCUGUUGAAAGACAUCUUCAUUGGUGCAUGUACCAAACCAGGCUCCAAAACCCACGUAAGCCCUGAAUCCACAUCACUACUUCAACACUGAUGCUCUGCACCCUGUUUGGUGCUACACACCCUGGUGCCUACCCCAGGCUGCAGUGCACCAGCAUCAGCUGCUGGGUGUGCCGAGGAAUUUGUUCUUCACGUGAGGUUGUCAGGCACUUACAGGAGGACUGCUUGUUCCUGCUGCUCUGGCACACACACUUCUAUCCAGCUAACCUUUUAAAUCCCUCCCAGGAGCAGAGGCAGCUCACUGAACUGCAGAAGCCUGCAACCACUCCUCUGAUGGCACUCACUAACCCAUAGCUGCAGGAAGCAAAACAACAGCAGAGGUCCCUUUUUGACAUUACCUUUCUCCCUGGAGAUGGUGGCAGCUUCUCUGCAGACCACCCACGUCUACUCACCCUUCUUAUGGAGGCAGCCUGGGCCCCAGGGAUCAGAGACACCCGGUGGCACCUCCACAAAGAGCCCACAAGAAGAGUAUGUGGUUGGGUAUCUGCAUAGGUUCAUGGCCAAGUAAUUCAGUGCUCAGCAGUCAGUACGGUGUUAGUGAUGGCAGAGGCUGCUAAGUCCUUUUGGAGAAUGCUGGGGCUGUCCCAUUUGCAGAAACCCUUCCCACUCCAUUUCUCAGCUUUCACUCCCAUAUUGUUAUUUCUGUUUAGCCACAGAGUCUUCCAGGGACAGGCAAAGUCCAAAGUCCUGAUGUUAAAAAACAAACAAACAAACAGAAGAAAUGCAAACAGAAGGUGGGGGGGAGGGGUGGGGGGUGUAAAAAAAAAGAAAAUAUUUGGAGGAAAACUAGAUCUUUCUGCCCUACAACACAGUCAAAACAAACCACACCCAUGUCCCCCCCUACUUUGUAGUUCUCUUUUAAGUAGAGCCAUGCCCAGCAGCUGGAAGCUGUCUGGCUGUUUGGACUUCAUGCAGGGAUGUGCCAGAGAUUCCCUCUUACUCCCCUGGGUGGGAUGUAAAGAAUUCCUCUUUUCAUUGCUGGCAUUCCUACGGCACUGAGUCACUUUAUAACCCAGACAAUAACGUCCAAGUCUUGUCCAGACACUCUGGGAUAGACACUAUGAUUUUUUUCUAAUGAUACAAUUAUGAGAGUGUCCAUUGGCUAUGAAGCUUCCUGGCCAAAACCUGCAUUAAAAAUAGCAUAACCCAUGAUCUCCACCUGCAGAUAAGGGACAUACUUUGGUGUCCCACCUUUCCAACAAUAAUUAAUCAAGACCGAGGAAGGGCACUCAAAUUCACAGCAUAGCUGUCAAAGCAAAUGAGCUCCUGAAAGACUUGGCAUUGAGCAACACAGUUGGUCAGUUGUUCAUUCCUCCCAGUAGCAAUCAGCAUAAGCACUGAAGUUCGUUGUGUUUAUUGUUCUUAAUUGUAAGCACACAAAAUCCUUUACCAGCAGUUUUAGAAGAAGAUCUCGUCUGGUAUGUUUGUGCUGCAGUGGCAGGGUAGAAAUAGAUUUUAUUUAUGUAUUUAUUUAUUGUUAUUGAGGUCAUUAGUUGGAAAUACAAACAUUAGUCAAAACCAAACAUGGGUCACAAGCUCCCAAAGUUGUACUUCUACUUUGAAGACAUUACUAGAUAGCUGAAAACAAAUAUCACUAUUGUUGUUAUAGUGUGAGACCCUGAUGGAAGCAAAUGUAAACAAGACGAGGAGGGGAAAAAAGAAGUGGCUAUGAGCUUAAGUUUUGAAUUUAGGUUCUGUUUAUUAAAAAAUAAAAGAGAAAUAAAAAAG